rnacentral:rRNA from 1 species
UACGGAGGGUGCAAGCGUUGUCCGGAAUCACUGGGCGUAAAGGGCGCGUAGGCGGCUCCCUAAGUCACUUGUGAAAUCCUGGGGCUCAACUCCAGGGCUGCAGGUGAGACUGGAGGGCUAGAGCUCGGUAGAGGCGAGUGGAAUUCCCGGUGUAGCGGUGGAAUGCGUAGAUAUCGGGAAGAACACCGGUGGCGAAGGCGGCUCGCUGGGCCGAUGCUGACGCUGAGGGCGCGAAAGCGUGGGGAGCAAA